rnacentral:rRNA from 1 species
CCAGACUCCUACGGGAGGCAGCAGUGAGGAAUAUUGGUCAAUGGGCGAGAGCCUGAACCAGCCAAGUCGCGUGAAGGAAGACAGUCCUAAGGAUUGUAAACUUCUUUUAUACGGGAAUAACGGGCGAUACGAGUAUUGCAUUGAAUGUACCGUAAGAAUAAGCAUCGGCUAACUCCGUGCCAGCAGCCGCGGUAAUACGGAGGAUGCGAGCGUUAUCCGGAUUUAUUGGGUUUAAAGGGUGCGUAGGUUGUUCGGUAAGUCAGCGGUGAAACCUGAGCGCUCAACGUUCAGCCUGCCGUUGAAACUGCCGGGCUUGAGUUCAGUGGCGGCAGGCGGAAUUCGUGGUGUAGCGGUGAAAUGCAUAGAUAUCACGAGGAACUCCGAUUGCGAAGGCAGCUUGCCAUACUGCGACUGACACUGAAGCACGAAGGCGUGGGUAUCAAACAGGAUUAGAUACCCUGGUAGUCCACGCAGUAAACGAUGAUUACUAGGAGUUUGCGAUAUACCGUCAAGCUUCCACAGCGAGAGCGUUAAGUAAUCCACCUGGGGAGUACGCCGGCAACGGUGAAACUCAAAGGAAUUGACGGGGGCCCGCACAAG